rnacentral:rRNA from 1 species
ACUCAAAGGAAUUGACGGGGACCCGCACAAGCGGUGGAUGAUGUGGAUUAAUUCGAUGCAACGCGAAGAACCUUACCUACCCUUGACAUGUGAGGAACGCUCUCGAGAGGGGGCGGUGCCCGAAAGGGAACCUCAACACAGGUGCUGCAUGGCUGUCGUCAGCUCGUGUCGUGAGAUGUUGGGUUAAGUCCCGCAACGAGCGCAACCCUUGUCACUAGUUGCUACGAAAGGGCACUCUAGUGAGACUGCCGGUGACAAACCGGAGGAAGGUGGGGAUGACGUCAAGUCCUCAUGGCCCUUAUGGGUAGGGCUUCACACGUCAUACAAUGGCGCAUACAAAGGGUUGCCAACCUGCGAGGGGGAGCCAAUCCCAGAAAGUGCGUCGUAGUCCGGAUUGUUCUCUGCAACUCGAGAGCAUGAAGUCGGAAUCGCUAGUAAUCGCGGAUCAGCAUGUCGCGGUGAAUACGUUCCCGGGUCUUGCACACACCGCCCGU